AACGCUGGCGGCAUGCCUAAUACAUGCAAGUCGAUCGGGUGCAGCAAUGCAUCAGAGGCGAACGGGUGAGUAACACGUAUCCAAUUUACCCCAUAGCGAGGGAUAACUAGUCGAAAGAUUAGCUAAUACCGCAUAACGAUUAAAAUAUCGCAUGAGAAUUAAUUUAAAGAUCCGUUUGGAUUACUAUGGGAUAAGGGUGCGGCAUAUCAGCUAGUUGGUGAGGUAACGGCCCACCAAGGCAAUGACGUGUAGUUAUGCUGAGAGGUAGAAUAACCACAAUGGAACUGAGACACGGUCCAUACUCCUACGGGAGGCAGCAGUAGGGAAUUUUUCACAAUGGACGAAAGUCUGAUGGAGCAAUGCCGCGUGAACGAUGAAGGUCUUUGUAGAUUGUAAAGUUCUUUUAUUUAGGAAGAAAAGCUAGUAAAGGAAAUGUUAUUAGUUUGACCGUACUAUUUGAAUAAGUAACGACUAACUAUGUGCCAGCAGUCGCGGUAAUACAUAGGUUGCAAGCGUUAUCCGGAUUUAUUGGGCGUAAAACAAGCGCAGGCGGAUUAGAAAGUCUGGUGUUAAAAUCAACUGCUUAACGGUUGAAUGCAUUGGAAACUUCUAGUCUAGAGUGUGGUAGAGAGUUCUGGAACUCCAUGUGGAGCGGUGGAAUGCGUAGAUAUAUGGAAGAACACCAGCUGCGAAGGCGAGAACUUAGGCCAUUACUGACGCUUAGGCUUGAAAGUGUGGGGAGCAAAUAGGAUUAGAUACCCUAGUAGUCCACACCGUAAACGAUGGAUGUUAAACGUCGGGGCGAUCACCUCGGUGUUGCAGUUAACACAUUAAACAUCCUGCCUGGGUAGUACAUUCGCAAGAAUGAAACUCAAACGGAAUUGACGGGGACCCGCACAAGUGGUGGAGCAUGUUGCUUAAUUCGACGGUACACGAAAAACCUUACCUAGACUUGACAUCCUUGGCAAAACUAUAGAAAUAUAGUCGAGGUUAACCGAGAGACAGGUGGUGCAUGGUUGUCGUCAGCUCGUGUCGUGAGAUGUUGGGUUAAGUCCCGCAACGAGCGCAACCCUUAUCGUUAGUUACUUUGUCUAACGAGACUGCCAACGCAAGUUGGAGGAAGGUGGGGAUGACGUCAAAUCAUCAUGCCCCUUAUGUCUAGGGCUGCAAACGUGCUACAAUGGCCAAUACAAACAGUUACCAAACCGUAAGGUGGAGUUAAUCUGCAAAGUUGGUCUCAGUUCGGAUUGAGGGCUGCAAUUCGCCCUCAUGAAGUCGGAAUCACUAGUAAUCGCGAAUCAGCUAUGUCGCGGUGAAUACGUUCUCGGGUCUUGUACACACCGCCCGUCAAACUACGAGAGUUGAUAGUGUCUAAAACCGUGUUGCUAACCGCAAGGAAGCGCAUGUCUAGGACAAGAUUAAUGAUUGGAGUUAAGUCGUAACAAGGUACCCCUACGAGAACGUGGGGGUGGAUCACCUCCUUUCU
rnacentral:rRNA from 1 species